rnacentral:rRNA from 1 species
CCUAACACAUGCAAGUCGAGCGGAUGAUGGGAGCUUGCUCCUUGAUUUAGCGGCGGACGGGUGAGUAAUGCCUAGGAAUCUGCCUGGUAGUGGGGGAUAACGUUCCGAAAGGAACGCUAAUACCGCGUACGUCCUACGGGAGAAAGCAGGGGACCUUCGGGCCUUGCGCUAUCAGAUGAGCCUAGGUCGGAUUAGCUAGUUGGUGAGGUAAUGGCUCACCAAGGCGACGAUCCGUAACUGGUCUGAGAGGAUGAUCAGUCACACUGGAACUGAGACACGGUCCAGACUCCUACGGGAGGCAGCAGUGGGGAAUAUUGGACAAUGGGCGAAAGCCUGAUCCAGCCAUGCCGCGUGUGUGAAGAAGGUCUUCGGAUUGUAAAGCACUUUAAGUUGGGAGGAAGGGCAGUAAGUUAAUACCUUGCUGUUUUGACGUUACCGACAGAAUAAGCACCGGCUAACUUCGUGCCAGCAGCCGCGGUAAUACGAAGGGUGCAAGCGUUAAUCGGAAUUACUGGGCGUAAAGCGCGCGUAGGUGGUUCGUUAAGUUGGAUGUGAAAGCCCCGGGCUCAACCUGGGAACUGCAUCCAAAACUGGCGAGCUAGAGUACGGUAGAGGGUGGUGGAAUUUCCUGUGUAGCGGUGAAAUGCGUAGAUAUAGGAAGGAACACCAGUGGCGAAGGCGACCACCUGGACUGAUACUGACACUGAGGUGCGAAAGCGUGGGGAGCAAACAGGAUUAGAUACCCUGGUAGUCCACGCCGUAAACGAUGUCAACUAGCCGUUGGAAUCCUUGAGAUUUUAGUGGCGCAGCUAACGCAUUAAGUUGACCGCCUGGGGAGUACGGCCGCAAGGUUAAAACUCAAAUGAAUUGACGGGGGCCCGCACAAGCGGUGGAGCAUGUGGG